AAGCACUAUAUAAGCAUUAGGUGUUGGUGUCAUAGCAGAAACAUCAUUUACCUAGGUUAAGCCGCUAACACAUUUGAAUGUGUGGCACAAGCAAAAUAACUAGACUUCUAAAAACAGCAUCCUUUUAAAAUGGGAUGUACUUUGGCGAUCCCACAGCUGUAAAUCCCAAGUACUAUAAAUAUACACAACUUCGUGGUAUUAACCCCAUCUCCUCCUUUCACUAUUCCCUACUGCUGAAAUCCACUAUUCAGAAAACUUCCGUUUCUUUAUAUCUUCCUUUUUUUGUUUGUUUGCUAAGCAAGCCAGAUUUCUGUUUGCAGACAGGACAUGGAUAGCAUGUUCCAUGGGCAAAAAGGCAAAAAGAGGUAACGCUUCCAGAAUAAAGAUGCGAAAAUCUUUUGUCAUAAUACGCAGGAACGUACGUCUGGGUACGCAUAUAUUUGUGCACACAUUUCUAGAGACACAUGCAGGUCCCUGAGCAACUCAGAAGGCUCCAGCCCAUUUCCUGCCUGGUCAGGGCUGUGUCCUAUGGCAGAUCCUGCGCUAAUUGCAGGGCUCCACGAGAAGGUGGCCCGAGUCAAAGAGAAAGUUGCCGGCCAGGCUGCUCACUUGCUCUCACUCUGCAAUUGGCUUCUGCGAGCUCCCAUCGCUCCUUUAAGAAGCUGCCACACAAACAAGGCAGCUGCUCUGCUCCUUCCCUGAUUGCAGCCAGAGGGGGAAUGGACUCUGCGGACGGUGACACACGAUCAUUUUCAUCUACAUUUCAUUUUACAUCGGGAUUAUGAAUUGACACUGAACAGAGCAGGCUUCAUCCUGUGGCAGUUCAGUGCAUGCUUUCUGCAAAACAGACAACACAAAACACACGGGCUUUGGUCAGUGAUGGUCAUGAUCUGAUGGAGGAUGUCUCCGAUGUCCUGCUUCCUGCCGUCGCCGUCUGCCCCUUCGUGUCCGUGGGGAGGAGGCAGAGCCAUGCCCCCCUGCACCGAGUGGCCGGCCAGGUUCAC